AUUAGAUACCCGUGUAGUCCCAGCCGUAAACUAUGCUCGCUAGGUGUCAGGCAUGGCGCGACCGUGUCUGGUGCCGCAGGGAAGCCGUGAAGCGAGCCACCUGGGAAGUACGGCCGCAAGGCUGAAACUUAAAGGAAUUGGCGGGGGAGCACAACAACGGGUGGAGCCUGCGGUUUAAUUGGACUCAACGCCGGACAACUCACCGGGGACGACAGCAAUAUGUAGGCCAGGCUGAAGACCUUGCCUGAAUCGCUG
rnacentral:rRNA from 1 species